rnacentral:piRNA from 1 species
UGAACCUAGAGCUCAUGGACUGGCUA